GUCGACGAAGUUCUUCGGAACUUAGUGGCGGACGGGUGAGUAACGCGUGAGAAUCUACCUUCAGGACGGGGACAACAGCUGGAAACGGCUGCUAAUACCCGAUAUGCCGAGAGGUGAAAAGUUAUUUCGCCUGGAGAGGAGCUCGCGUCCGAUUAGCUAGUUGGUGAGGUAAAAGCUUACCAAGGCGACGAUCGGUAGCUGGUCUGAGAGGAUGAGCAGCCACACUGGAACUGAGACACGGUCCAGACUCCUACGGGAGGCAGCAGUGGGGAAUUUUCCGCAAUGGGCGAAAGCCUGACGGAGCAACGCCGCGUGGGGGAAGAAGGUUUUUGGAUUGUAAACCCCUUUUCUCAAGGAAGAACAAAAUGACGGUACUUGAGGAAUCAGCCUCGGCUAACUCCGUGCCAGCAGCCGCGGUAAUACGGAGGAGGCAAGCGUUAUCCGGAAUUAUUGGGCGUAAAGCGUUCGUAGGCGGCUGUUCAAGUCUGCUGUCAAAGACCGAGGCUCAACCUCGGGUCGGCAGUGGAAACUGGAUAGCUAGAGGUCGGUAGGGGCAGAGGGAAUUCCCAGUGUAGCGGUGAAAUGCGUAGAUAUUGGGAAGAACACCGGUGGCGAAAGCGCUCUGCUGGGCCGAACCUGACGCUGAGGGACGAAAGCUAGGGGAGCGAAUGGGAUUAGAUACCCCAGUAGUCCUAGCCGUAAACGAUGGAAACUAGGUGUGGCCUGUAUCGACCCGGGCCGUGCCGAAGCUAACGCGUUAAGUUUCCCGCCUGGGGAGUACGCACGCAAGUGUGAAACUCAAAGGAAUUGACGGGGGCCCGCACAAGCGGUGGAGUAUGUGGUUUAAUUCGAUGCAACGCGAAGAACCUUACCAGGGCUUGACAUGCCGCGAAUCUUCCUGAAAGGGAAGAGUGCCUACGGGAGCGCGGACACAGGUGGUGCAUGGCUGUCGUCAGCUCGUGUCGUGAGAUGUUGGGUUAAGUCCCGCAACGAGCGCAACCCUCGUCCUUAGUUGCCAUCAUUAAGUUGGGCACUCUAGGGAGACUGCCGGUGAUAAACCGGAGGAAGGUGGGGAUGACGUCAAGUCAUCAUGCCCCAUAUGUCCUGGGCUACACACGUACUACAAUGGUCGGGACAACGAGCAGCCAACUCGCAAGAGUGCGCUAAUCUCUUAAACCCGGCCUCAGUUCAGAUUGCAGGCUGCAACUCGCCUGCAUGAAGGAGGAAUCGCUAGUAAUCGCAGGUCAGCAUACUGCGGUGAAUCCGUUCCCGGGCCUUG
rnacentral:rRNA from 1 species